UGAGGAAUAUUGGUCAAUGGGCGAGAGCCUGAACCAGCCAAGUAGCGUGCAGGAUGACGGCCCUAUGGGUUGUAAACUGCUUUUAUGCGGGGAUAAAGUGCGCGACGUGUCGUGCAUUGCAGGUACCGCAUGAAUAAGGACCGGCUAAUUCCGUGCCAGCAGCCGCGGUAAUACGGAAGGUCCGGGCGUUAUCCGGAUUUAUUGGGUUUAAAGGGAGCGUAGGCCGCCAGAUAGGCGUGUUGUGAAAUGUACCGGCUCAACCGGUGAAUUGCAGCGCGAACUGUUUGGCUUGAGUGCACGGUAAGCAGGCGGAAUUCAUGGUGUAGCGGUGAAAUGCUUAGAUAUCAUGAAGAACUCCGAUUGCGAAGGCAGCUUGCUGCAGUGCGACUGACGCUGAUGCUCGAAGGUGCGGGUAUCAAACAGG
rnacentral:rRNA from 1 species